GACAGAGGUGCCGAGCGUUAGGCGGAAUCACUGGGCUUAAAGCGUGUGUAGGCGGGCCGUUAAGUACCUUGUGAAAUCCCACCGCUCACCGGUGGAACGGCUGGGUAUACUGGCGGUCUUGAGAGGCCUAGGGGCAGACGGAACAAGCGGUGGAGCGGUGAAAUGCGUAGAUAUCGCUUGGAACGCCGACGGCGAAAGCAGUCUGCUGGGGGCCUUCUGACGCUGAGGCGCGAAAGCUAGGGGAGCGAACAGG
rnacentral:rRNA from 1 species